AACGAUGAGCAUUUCCAACGAAUGGAAAAACCUCCGGCGAAUAACAUGCAAGCGGAUGAAGGCAAAAAAGGAGGAGGAAGACCCGAAAGAUAAGCUCACCUCCGGCGUGACGUAUCACCGCGAGAGGAUGAAAAAUGGAGGGUCUCCUGAGUUCCCCAAAAGCACAAACAUCAACAAGUAGCUAACAGCCGGAAAAAGUCCCCAACAGGCGGAAGGACCUCCAUCAAAGAGAGAGGAAAACUGCAAUGCCUUGAACGUAGAGACCAUAUGAAUCAUUUCCCAAUUUCAAUCCUCUGCAAAACCUUAAUAUUUUCGGCAAAGAGCAGUUAACUGUAACAAAACGAUGAAUAAAAGAGAGCAGCCCCAAAAGCUAAGCAUGGCGCCUCCGGCGUGAAAGAACAGCACAAGAGGGAUGAGAAUGAGGGACUGCCUGAACUCUGAUGCACUCCCAUCGAAAGAAACCCAACGGCGUAUGGAAACAUGCGGAUGAAGGUGAUGGAAGGGAGGGCAGAACCGACGAGGAAAGCUUACCUCCGGCGUGAAGUUUCACCGCUAGAGGAUGAAUGAUGGGUGGUCUGCCGGAGCUCCCAAAAACACAAUCAGGAGUACGCAACCAUCAGCCGGAAGAGGUCCAAAAGAUGGAAGAAACUCCAUCGAAGAGAGUUACUCACUGAACUUUCGAACAAACUGCCGGAUAAGUGAACUCCAGCUUUUCAAUCUUCUGCAAAUUCAAAUGAUUUCCGGCAAAGAGCAAUUACCUCAAACAAUCAACGAUGAGGGAGAGGGCAGACCCGCAAGUGAAG
rnacentral:lncRNA from 1 species